GUCAGCUAUGACCUGGUGGUUGGUGGCGGCUUGAUCCACUCCUGGAUCCUUCUCCCACUUCCCCGUUGCCUAACACCGAGCACCCGGAUGGGAGCAUGGGAUCGACGGUGGCCGGAAACAUGAUUUAAAAUGGGACUUUAUACCACCAAAUAAGAAUGUGUGUACAUAUAUCUCAUUGUACGCAACAACACACCGUUUUUUGGGUAAUACUCUACCCAGGCUUAAUUCGUCCUAGCAAAAGAAAUCACAUCAUGAGCAAAAGAACGAAUUCGCUACUAACGUUUCAAAUCAAGAUUUAUCCAUCUAACAGUCCCAAAAUAUAUUUCCGUUCUCAUUAUUGCAACAACGUUUUUUGUACCAACAAUGUGACACUGCACUACAAUAUAUUUUCACAGGCCAUGGAAAAAUAAAGAAUUUGACAAUAGAUAGCCUCCAGUCUAAAAUUAUAAUUUUGCGCGCACUUUGGAGCUAUUGGAUGCCUGAAAAAUAUCGGUCCUCAUAUAAUCUAACCGUUACACCUCUUGAGUCCAAUUAGAAACUCUUUCAUUAUUGGUUAUAAAGUGUUUGCUUUGGUCAGUUAAUAAUCCCUCUGUUCAUAAAUACAAGACAUUUUAGAGACAAGAUGCAUAUUUAAUGAAGCAUCCACUUGCUGUAGAAAGCAUGUUUUAUGGUUCUGUACCAGGUAAGGUGUUUAGUAACCUAUUUAACAAUGCUUUCCAGCUUCUUUCCAUGUUCUAACAUACUUCAUGUGUUGUGCAAUAAUCUACUGAUGGCCAGUUGCAACUUCAUUUCACUAUUGACACUGCAUAUGAUGUUCUUUAUUCUCAGCAAAGCAAACAUCUUAUUUGUUUAUCAUACUAUUCUCUACAAAAAACUAGGCGUUGCUGAAGCUGGAGUCAUGAUGGCGUUAGUAAUCUUGGUGAUGCUUCUUAUACGGCAAACCAACUUGUUUUUGAUUAUCCUAUGGGUUAUUUAUCCAAAUGUUGCAUAUAGGAGUAUUGUUGAGCUAAUAAUAUUUGAAUCUGAGGUCCCUCGUACAGUGGUUCAGAAAAAACCCUAUCCAAUGGAGAUGAUGCAUGAGGAGCGGCAAAGUCAUGAUCCAUAAAGCCCUAUGUUAUUCUUUUUCUCACUAUGAUUUUACUUUUUAUGGUUGGAUGCCAAGUAGCCAAGCAGACGCUUUUUCAUAGAUUAGUUUCUUAGUUUCAUAACUUGAACUGCGUUGUCGAGUGCAGUGUGUAGGCUCUUUCUCGAUUGCUCAGCAGGCGAUCAACGCGGCACAUGUGGAGGCUGUGAGAGCUGUGAAUGGCACCGGUCUUGUCGUACUUAUGAGCAGGAGCACGGGCCACAUUACUCUUCAUGCCACUCUGAGCAGCUGAGAUGUUGACUGCUGGUUGAGAUUGAUUUCCACGUUGAAUGGAAUGGAGACCUAUUUGAGUUCC